AGUUAACCCAUAGUUGCCCAUUUCCGUAUGGAGGGGGUGGUCUCCUCUCCUCUAUCUUCACUUGUGCCUACUACUGUGAGAGUUCAUUGCACAGUGAGAAGCAGCUCAACAAAUGAACCACACAGCUCCGUAAAGAAAAGUCAGAGUAUAAGUAGGGCAGAUGGAAGCUCUGUUUGUGAGCAGGAUUCCCGGCUCCAGAUUUCACACAAAGAACUUGCUGAUUUCAGAAGGUUGUCUGGGGCUGUGAAAGGCCCGUUUCUCUUCAUCGGCUGCUUGGUGACUGCACGCUUAGUCAGGAGGCGCGGAAGCCCCAGUAGAAGACCUUUCCUCAGCCUGGAAGCCAGGCGCUCAGGGACUCCCGGGAAGGUGCCAGCGCCCUGACUCUCCCCUCUUCAGGGAUGCCAGACAAUUCCUUCAGCUCACAUGACUUCAUCAGCCAAGUUCUUGUCACCUCACACAGUGAAUUAAACUCAUAGUCUCUUUAUUUAGAUUACCCAAAGGAGUUUUCACCCCCUUCGCAGGACUACAGUGUUCGACAAACGACCAAAUUGGAGCUUGGGGAAAAUAAAAGGAAUUCUCUGGA
rnacentral:lncRNA from 1 species